GGUGGGGGAGGGUACAAUGGUGGUGGCGGAGGAGGCAGCAGUGGGGGCUAUCACGGUGGCGGUGGGGGGAGCAGUAGUAGUGGUUAUAGUAGUGGAGGUAAAGGUAGCAGUGGCUACCAUAGUGGUGGUCGCGGUGGAAAUAGUGGAGGAGGUGACUUAGAUGGAGCCCAUUCGCACUCCGGUGGUGGAGGUAGAGGCGGAGGUGGAAGUAAGGUUGGAUAUUCUAGUAAACCUCGACCCCAAAGACGCCCCCAGGGUAAACCAGGUAGUUGUCCAAACCAUGUUCAUGAUCUUGGUGGGUGUUUUACCAGAUGUCAGAAUGAUUCAGAUUGUGGUGGUUCAGAUAAAUGUUGUCAACAAGGAUGCUCUAGAAUAUGUCAUCAUAUUUAAAAAAAAAAGAAGUUUCACUGAUGCAUAUAUAUAUAUAUAUUGAACAUUGUUAAUUAAGAGGGGUAAUAUUUUAAUCAUCAGGGUCAGGGAAACAAAUUGAAAAAACAAAUAACAAAACGACUAUGUACGCUAUAGGCCAUAAAAAUCGCAAUUUUUCUAACAGAUCAACAAAACCUCAAAUCAAUCAAAUUUUGAGUCUUGGUGAUAACGCACACAACGAUUCAAAUUCAGCCUGCAAUGUACGCUAAAGCAGAAUGAAAACUGUUACAAUAUAUUUUCAGAAAUGUCCUUAAAAACCUAAAGCCCUGUAUUUCUUUUAGGAUUCUAACAGGGCCAAUGUAGUAAUUUUAUAAUGAAUGAUAAACUUGUCUGCAAAUAAGUAAAAGGAGACCUUCAACUGCUAACCAGACCUUCUUUGCAAUUUAUACUACCAGAAAGACACCUUUAAACAGAAGCACUGAUUUAAAAUCGUGUUCUUCUGGAUUCCUACAGAUUUUUAACUCUAAUCAUCUUGGAUCAUUCCGCCGGACAGACAACAGAAAAAGUCUUCAGUAGACAGCAACAGUCGUCAUGAUUUUUAUAUAUUACCACAAUAAGGGGCAACAUAUAGAAUAAAACUAAGGGCCACUUAAUAUUUGCAAAACUUUCUUUUGAUUUCACGUCAUCAUUAUGCGUUAUGGGUAAAAUGUACACUGAGACGCAAUGAAAGCGUAACUCAGAUUUGACUGCAAGUACUGGUGAGACAUGAUGCAGUUGGAAUGUGAUUUUUAGCUUGAUUGUAGGUUAGACAAGAAAAUCCAGAACAACCCUCGGAGAACAAAAUAACUUUACAGAGAAAUGAAGGCAGAUGAGGUAAAAAUCAAACUUCCAUCGCCACACGCCGUCGUCGCAUAAAGGAGAUAAGCCCCCGAGUAGCUAAUUGUGGGAUCAUUUUUGUUGUAAUGGUGUUUCCAAUGGGCCUGGUAUUCAUGCCAUCUUGAAUUAAGAAUAUCGCUAUUCUUUGAAACUUUGAAAUUACUAGACCCAUUGGAAGAAUCAUUACAAUGAGAGUAGUUUCUAAUAAAUUCUGUUCUGAAGAAUACGCGAACACUCCAAAUAGAAUGGCAGUCAUUUGUGUCCGCUUAGUUCAUUCUACAUAUGGAUAAUAUUGAGUACUUAGAGGUUUAGCUCCUUUAAGCUGUCACCUUGGCAUAUCGUUAGGUCUCCCAGAGGGCCGUAGGUGUUGUUCUGGUCCUAGCUUUUUAAAAGCUACAGUGUACUUCGUAGCUGGGACAGACACCAUACAUUCGUAAUUUUUAACAAUCUCAUUCUGUUGAAUCCAGUAUGCGAUCGUGAAAACGCUAUCAUCGCGUGGCAUUGUAGAGUCCUGUUAUUACAUUCAAGUGUAUUUCUCAAACGAGAUUUACAAUCAUCUGUUUAUUAAAGUGAUGCGUUUUCAUUGCGUCUUAGUAUAAUUCGGCUAUAUCUAGCUAAGCAAUGGUAAUUAUAGUUAUUAUUUUUUUUGCGUGUUUUUUUUUUAUCUAAGACACCAAACUAGUAUGCAAAAAAGGUGUUUAGUUUAGUUCAUUUGCGUCCUUUUCCGACUUAAUCUUAAAUAGUUGUAAUCAUCUUUUAAUUAAACAACUAACUGGAAAUCUGAAUUGCAUUUAUUUUUCUUGGUGAGCAUGGUAUUCAUUAAACGAUCUGCUUAAAGCUAGUGUUAAUGUUUUAUAGUUCUUUUAACAACUGUAAACGGCACACGAAACAAGGGUUUACGGACAUAGUUUUAUAUCAUAAUUUUACCUCCUAUCUAGUUUUAUCAAAAACUAAACUUUUUGUAUGAUUUUUUUUUAUGAAAAUUAUUGAUAAAAUGUUUUAUUAACUUU